rnacentral:misc_RNA from 1 species
GAUGAAGAACGUAGCGAAAUGCGAUAACUAAUGUGAAUUGCAGAAUUCAGUGAAUCAUCGAGUCUUUGAACGCACAUUGCGCCCCCUGGUAUUCCGGGGGGCAUGCCUGUCCGAGCGUCAUUGCUGCCCUCAAGCACGGCUUGUGUGUUGGGCCCCGUCCUCCGAUCCCGGGGGACGGGCCCGAAAGGCAGCGGCGGCACCGCGUCCGGUCCUCGAGCGUAUGGGGCUUUGUCACCCGCUCUGUAGGCCCGGCCGGCGCUUGCCGAUCAACCCAAAUUUUUUAUCCAGGUUGACCUCGGAUCAGGUAGGGAUACCCGCUGAACUUAAGCAUAUCAAUAAGCGGAGGA